UAUAAACUUUAUGAUGUUCUCCCUACUAAGAUCCCUCGCCCCCUAAGUGUUGAAUGUCUCUUAAUGUUUGUGUUUAGUCCCUAUGUAAAAUUUUUGUGUAAAUAUAUUAAGUCUAACAAAAUAAAAUUGUUAUUUACUAACAUCAUAACCCAUCUAGUCCAGUUACCACAAAUCGGACUGGGAUUGUCCAGAAAAGACUUGGGUGUAAAUAAACUGUUCAGCCUCCUUUGUGUUUUCUCCAAACAACGCGUCUUUGGCGAAGUGAAUUGUGCUGUGUGGCACAACAAAAAGCCACUAAAAUAAACAA